AAAAAGCUAAAAAGAACGAAAGCUGUCUUCUCCGUGUGGACUGGGGACUAGCAGAACACGCAUUGGAAAAUGCUACUGCAUUUUCUCUGGUUCUCCAUGGAUAUUCCUGAGUAGGCAGCCAUUACUAUAAUCAUCAUUCCCAGCAUUGGAAAGACUCCGCUCCACCUUCUCUGAUCGUAGGGAUCCCUGGGUGCUAGCGAGAAGGCAGCCAUCUUCGGGAAGCUCAGGGCGGCGUCUGCAAACCGAUGCCGUGCGGUUCCCAAGAGUUCCCAUUUUCCCAAUUCUUCAUUAAGAAAAUAAUCCCAUAUUUGAGUUCACACUAAAGUAGAACUGAGACUUCGCUAUACUUCUUAUGAGUGAGGGGAGUGACUCUAUCAAUCAAUCCUUCAUUCUCCUGACUGAAAUGCUUGAUGUAGGGAAGAGAGAAUAUCGGACUUAGAAGACAGAGAAGAGGAAAGGAAACAGGCAAACCAAAGAAAAGAGGAGGAAAUUAGAAAUCUAAAAAAUAUUGUCGGGAAUCUACAGGAUACUAUUAGAAAACCGAACAUUCGGGUCCUAGGAGUUCCUGAA